CAAAAUCAACCGCACCCAAGCAUAGACAAACACGUGACUAUGCAUUUGCUCACGUUUAGGGAAAAAGAGCAGAGAAGCGUUCAAUAUGGAUUUUUUUUUUUUGAAGACCCAAAUAUUGCCCUUGUCACGUGACAAGGGUCAAUUCAAUUUCCACAUUCACUUCACUGUACUGGAAGCGGUUUGAGGACAUCCAGUCUCCCACGAUGGACUCAGACAUACUGAAUAUUGAGGAAAUAGUGAUGGGGAAGGGGCCACCAGAUCCCCCUGCAGAACUGACCACUGAGAAACCAGCAGAACACUACAAACCCAUUGCCUCCUUCAAAGCACCACCUCCACCCACCAUUCAACCAUACCAGCAUGAGAAUCUGCAGUGCUUCCAGUGCUUCAUCACCUUCUGUAACUCCAAAGCCAAGGAGAGGCACAUGAAGAAGAGCCAUCGUGAGGAGUACAAGCAGCAGCUCCAGCAGGGAGAUACUCUGUUCACUUGCUAUGUGUGUGACCGUACCUUUCCGUCCUCGGAGGAGCUGACCCAGCACCAGGGCUCACACAACAAGGAGGACAAGCCCUUCAAGUGUCCCCACUGCCAGGAGAGCUUCCGCACCUUCUCUGAGCUGACGACCCACAGGAGACAGGUCUGUCCAGAGAGGCAAUUUGUGUGUAAGGACUGCAGUGAGACCUUCCGCAGCCCUGCCUUCCUUCGUACCCACCGCCUGGCCCAGCACCCCCGUCCAGAGGCAGAGGUGGAAGAGCCAGAUGACCCUACCAAGACCCACCGCUGUGGGAAGUGCAACCGGGGCUUCGAGACAGAGUCUGAGCUAAUAAUGCACCAGGAGAACCACGCCGGUGACCAGCACUGCAACGGCAGCGCCUCGCCCGCCAAGAAGCGCGGACGGCCCUUUAAAGCCGAGGACUCAACAGUCGGAGGGAAGAAGAGAAAGAAGAAGGAAGAGGGCACAGAGGAGGCUGAGACUGGAAACAAUGCCGAGGAGGCUGCAGCAGCUCCGGCUGAGACCAAGGGGAAAGCAGGAGGAGGCGGUGGCAGGCGGGGCCGUCCUAAAGCAGCAGCAGGCGAGGAGGCCAGAGAAGACCACAGUGAAGCCCCAGCAGAGGAGAAGAAACUCAAAGCGGCUCCCGCUUGCCCAAGCAACACCCCUGCCCUGAGUGUGAGCUCACGUUCCCUGCCCUGGCCCAGCUCCGCACCCACAAGAGGGAAAAGCACAUCCCACGUAAGGCCCACCCCUGCGAGGAGUGUGAGGAGAGCUUUGCCCGUCCCGAGCAGCUAGAAGCCCACAAGAACCGGGCACACAUCAAGGGGCGUUACGCCUGCCCUACCUGUGGCAAGAGCUUUGGCCGAGAGAGCAACCUGAAGGGCCACCAGCAGAGCAGCCACCCAGAGGAGGAGGAGAAGCAAGAGGUAGCGGGCCGCAGCAAGAGAUAAUUCAGAAUGGGGAAGGGGCGAUUUUCUGUAAAGUGAUUGGGGAGGGGGGACGAAGAAUCAAAGGGAUUUUAAAGAAUUUGAAUUUGGUCAAGGGUUUUUGUUGGUUUGAGGUUGGGUGUGAAAUUUAGAUCCUAAGUUUGAGGUGUUUUUAGAAUGUGAGGAAUUUCUUGCAGGAUUUUUAACAGGUGACCUGAGGCGUCCCACUGAUUGUUCAGCAUUUGCCAUUUUUGGAUUGUUAGGAUGUUCAAGGCACACAUCACACUUGGACUGACUGACUUACUAACCAAAAGAUGUAAGCUGUUAAACCCAUCUGUUAUACACCUGUCUUAUCUGGACUAAGAACAACAAUUAAUUAGUUUUGGGCAUCAUGUUUGUUCCCUUGGUUUUGAUUAAUAUCUUUAAAUGAUUCUCAUAAUUGAGUUACUGUUUUUACAUUAUCUUUAGAGGUGUAUGUAAAAUGCUUUUCAUGCUGUCUGACAAAUGGAGCUUUUCUUGUUUUAUGAUUUUUAUAUUGCUAAGUAUGUGUUCUGUAGUAGCAGAUGAAAUGCAACUACCGUGCAUUUUAUAAAACCUGUUGGGGAUAUUUACUUUUUGAAAGAUUCUAGUGAUAAGUGAACAUGGAUUGGAAUGUUUGGGAGUUAUAUAACGUCUCUUAGAAAUUGCAUCUAUUUAUAUACGGUUUCUGGUGCAUUGUAAUGCCACACUGUUUCAAUUCUGAUUAACUCCUAAAUUAUACUGCUAUUUAAUGCGCAGGGUAUAAAAAAUAUCAAUGCAUUUAUCCUCUUAAGUUCGUUUGGUUUAGGCCCAAUGGUUCUUCUUUGGUGUCAUGCAUGGAUUUUAACUUGUCAUCCUAAACAAUGGUUGUAAUGAAGACUACUAGUCAGACUCAAAUUAAGAUAAUCCUGCCACCAGCUACACCUUGUCACCUGUAUUUUUGAUUUGUUAUACUUAAUUUAAAUGUCAUAGAUAUUCUAAUGAACUUUCCAUAAAGGAUUUGCUUAAAGUUUGGCAUGAUGAAGAAAUGACCAGAGGCCUGAAUGGACGUGUACUUGUUUUCAAUAUUCUCCCCAUGUAACAUGCCUGGACACUCUGCCAAUAUGUAAUAAAGGUGCCCCAAGGGCUGCUACAGAAUGACA